rnacentral:rRNA from 1 species
GAGAUGUGGGUAGUCCGCACGAGCGCACCUCACUUUUAGUUGCCAUCAUUAAGUUGGGCACUCUGAAAGAACUGCCAGUGAUAAGCUGGAGGAAGGUGGGGAUGACGUCAAGUCCUCAUGGCCCUUACGUGUUGGGCUACACACGUGCUACAAUGGUAUCUACAACAGGAAGCAAAACGGCAACGUUAAGCAAAUCCCGAAAAGAUACCUCAGUUCGGAUUGCACUCUGCAACUCGAGUGCAUGAAGCUGGAAUUACUAGUAAUCGUGGAUCAGCGUGCCACGGUGAAUGCGUUCCCGGGUCUUGUACACACCGCCCGUCACACCAUGGGAGUUGGUUCUACCUUAAGGCAAGGUUUUAAACCCUUGACCACGGUAUAGUCAGCGACUGGGGUGAAGUCGUAACAAGGUAGCCGUAGGGGAACCUGCGGCUGGAUUACCUCCUUUCU